rnacentral:sRNA from 1 species
ACCACCAUCUUGGUAGUGUGCAAGACUCUGGGACCGCAUGAGAAAGGCAGAAAGGGAGCAAAGGAGCUGGUGGGGUGUCACAGGGCCUAUGUAUGAGGCAGAUGUGAGUUCUGCAUCCAGUUUUGCAAUUUAUCCAUUUACCUGCCUGAGACUUGGAAACACCUACUUGAUAGCCCUGAUUCAAGUGUUGGCGGAUGGAAGGGAGGAGACUCCUGACCCUCAGAAUGAGAUCAAUGGCUUUUCAAAAGCAGCACACCAAACUGUCAAAGUGGUGAUCCCUCUUCAUUUGACAUGCUCACAAAGAGGAGAAUAAGACAAGAAAGCAAGCUAACCCAGAAACAGUGAGGUGACAGUGCACCUCAAACACAGGAAAAUAAAAUGCAUAACUAUACUGAUUGGAUGCUGCUCAAAAUCAGCCUACAUGCCAUCUUUGAAGAUGAAUCCGCAGGCAAGAAUGAUGGAUGGGUGAAAGGGAGGGGGAAUACGAAAGCCCAGAGGCGGAGACUUCACUUCCGAUUGCCACGCUACAUCAAAAAAGCCAACAGUCUGGCCUUUCCGCAAGCCACAAGAAAAGGCAGAUCAGACUCCCCGGCUCCUCGGGUAGUUCUCAAAGGCAAAGACAAAAAUAAGAAACUAGUCUGAAGAAAGAGAGUCCCUCGCUUCUUCAGAACUCACCUGUCAAGAGCGGCGUGGACGGCGCCAUGUUGUCCCGGAAA